UCCACUGUUUCCCUGUCUGAAUUCAGUUCGCUCUUACUUUACUCUCAGUUCUCUUCUCUACGAACUCUAAACCCAGAAAGAAGUAGUUCUUUUGUUUUUUUAGUUUCGAUUGUUUCAUCUUAUUCACCGCAGGGGUUGAUGCUGAAUCAAAAAGAAGGGUUAAUGGUUCUUUGCUUGAAAGAAAUUGUGAUAACCAUCAAUAUUAUUGGAGGAGCAGCCAUCGGGGCUUUCUUUUGGAACCCUUUCUUUCGCUAAUAUCAAAUCAAGUGGGAUUGCAUGAAGCCAUCAACUAUCUUAUCUCUAAAUUAGUUUGAUGAUAUAAUUUGAGAAGUUGGUAAUUGGGAUUUUGAAUUUUUUAGGUUAAAAUCCUCAACUUUUAUUGAUGGGGAAGAUGUGAUGUUGACUGUCUCAAAUAGGUUAGCGGUAAUUUGGGUGGCAAGGUUGAAUCAAAAGGAAAGAAGGAGGAGGAGGCAAAGUUGGCCAGUUAUGUGCAUCACCAGGAACAGCAACAACGUACACCAUUCCGGUUGUAGGCCAACACGGGUUGCACAACCAAAGUAAGGCUAAUCAUAGCAAUAGAUAAAUUUAUAAGUUUUCUAAAUAGACAAUGGCGCUGAGUGGGCUGCAGAUAGAAGAAAUGGCAACUCAAAUGCUGAAAGUUAGUCCAAUUUUGUCAUUCUUUUCGGCCUUGGUCAUUCCGUGUAUUUUCAGUGUCAUUGGUUAUCUCGGCUAACGGCUUUCGGAAAUAUCAAAAAAUACACAUCUUGCUGGGCCAAGUUGUCUACAUAAUUGAAUGAGGUAUGUUUCUCGGUAUUAAAUAGAAGUGGGGUACUGUCUCUUUUUGAAAAUGUUGUUGUUGUAGUAGUUCAGCGCAAUCAACAUAUGGUAUUUCAAAGUUAACUUGGUCGAGCUCUGCGUAUCGGCGAUUGAAUCGGAGCUCAACUCGGAGAAAAAAUUUCUUCGUUCUUCUCGUUUUCAGCGCAAUCAACAUUAAAUCUCAGGUUCUAAAACAUCAACUGGGUUUGCAAAGUCACCUUCAGUGGAAGGAAUGAAAAUUCCUUCGAUUGAACUACCAAAUGACUUAUUUGAGAAAAGUUUAGAUCCAUGAAGAUUUUCUCUCAUUGGUAGAUUAAAUUUAUAGAAAAUCAAAUUCAUAAAUGUUGCUAUAAUCCUUAGAAAUCAAUGGAAAUUAGUUGGAGAAUGUAAACUAAUACCAUUAGGAAGAGGUUUCUUUACAAUUAAACUGGAUAAUGCUACAGAUCGUAAUUACAUCAAAUCUCAAACAUGAGAAGUUACAGAUCAA